AUGUUGAUUAAUACAUAUAAAGAAAAGGAUCAUGUCAGCUGAAUCUUAGAUUUCUCAUUUUCUUCUCUGCUAUUAGAACAUGAUAUUUUCUGAUUGACUUAAAAUCUGUCAUAGGAAGUGCAUCAUAUCUUGUUGAAGAUUAAUUCUAAGCCUCUGGGAACAUCUGAUGUAAAUCACAGUUUAAGCUUCCAACCCAGAUGUUAUUGAUGGCUUUGGCCCCUUACCAGUUAGAAGAGGAAAAAGUGAGAUAGGGUGUGUGCACCAGCAAAGUUUUCAUAGAUGCCAAUUCAAGGGAAACAAAAGCUUGAGAAAGCAUGAGCAGACAAAUGUGCAGGCAUUGAUCAAGAUUCAAGACAAAAUGUUAUGAGGAGAGCACAGCUAAUCCUUACUCCUGAAAUACAUUGUUUCUUCAAAGGUGCAGAAUUUCGUAAAACAUUUAUCCAUUGGACUAUAUUAGCCAGCCAAGAACUUCAUGCAUAAAUUUCAUUCAAACUCACCUGUCUCAUUGAGCUUCAGCAAAAGCUGUUCCCUUGUUGGAAGAGUAUACAUUCCAGCAGAAACAGCAGUCCUGAUAGCCCAUGUGUGGUAUGGGGCACACACUUGAGCAUAAGCUGUUGAAGCUGCUUCCCUUAAAGAGUAAUCCCUAGAAUUCAGAAAGAAAAACCGAAGCAUUAGAUGACAGGAUUACAAGGAGAAUUACUUGCUUGUAACAAAAGAACAUGUAGCUCUCCAAGAAGAAGACCUAAACUAAUGAGGCAAACAGAAAACAGACUUUUCUUUUCGAUUACAUUGAUUAGGUUAUCACCAAUGCUACAAACAGUUGCAUCGCAGAUAGACUAUGAAAUUGCAAUAAAAAAAAAGCAGUCACAGAUAGAUCAUCCAUGAUGCAUGAAAAUCAGUCAUUGAUGUCUAAGAAAUGCAUGUUCUUAUAUACUAAA